UCGAGAGGCUUUGGCAAUGGGGGAAACCCUGACCAAGCGACGCCGCGUGGAGGAUGAAGGCCCUUGGGUUGUAAACUCCUUUUGUCGGGGAAGAAAUGCGAUCAGGUGAAUAAUCUGGUCGUUUGACGGUACCCGGCGAAUAAGCUCCGGCUAACUCCGUGCCAGCAGCCGCGGUAACACGGGGGGAGCAAGCGUUGUUCGGAAUCACUGGGCGUAAAGGGCGUGUAGGCGGUUGAGUAAGUGGGAUGUGAAAUGCCUCGGCUUACCCGGGGACCGGCAUCCCAAACUGCUCGACUUGAGUACGGGAGAGGAUGAGGGAAUUCCUGGUGUAGCGGUGAAAUGCGUAGAUAUCAGGAGGAACACCGGUGGCGAAGGCGCUCAUCUGGCCCGAUACUGACGCUGAUGCGCGAAAGCUAGGGGAGCGAACGGGAUUAGAUACCCCCGUAGUCC
rnacentral:rRNA from 1 species